AGCGAACGCUGGCGGCAGGCCUACCACAUGCAAGUCGAACGAACUCUUCGGAGUUAGUGGCGGACGGGUGAGUAACACGUGGGAACGUGCCUUUAGGUUCGGAAUAACUCAGGGAAACUUGUGCUAAUACCGAAUGUGCCCUUCGGGGGAAAGAUUUAUCGCCUUUAGAGCGGCCCGCGUCUGAUUAGCUAGUUGGUGAGGUAAAGGCUCACCAAGGCGACGAUCAGUAGCUGGUCUGAGAGGAUGAUCAGCCACAUUGGGACUGAGACACGGCCCAAACUCCUACGGGAGGCAGCAGUGGGGAAUCUUGCGCAAUGGGCGAAAGCCUGACGCAGCCAUGCCGCGUGAAUGAUGAAGGUCUUAGGAUUGUAAAAUUCUUUCACCGGGGACGAUAAUGACGGUACCCGGAGAAGAAGCCCCGGCUAACUUCGUGCCAGCAGCCGCCGUAAAAC
rnacentral:rRNA from 1 species